rnacentral:tRNA from 1 species
GUGGGUAUAGCUCAGUGGUACAGCACAUGCCUAGCAUGCAUGAGGUCCUGGGUUCAAUCCCAGUACCUCCA